UACGGAGGAUGCAAGCGUUAUCCGGAAUGAUUGGGCGUAAAGCGUCCGCAGGUGGCUGUGUAAGUCUGCUGUUAAAGAGUCUAGCUCAACUAGAUACAAGCAGUGGAAACUACACGGCUAGAGUACGUUCGGGGCAGAGGGAAUUCCUGGUGUAGCGGUGAAAUGCGCAGAUAUCGGGAAGAACACCCGUGGCGAAGGCGGCUUUCUGGGACGGUACUGACGCUGAGACGCGAAAGCGUGGGGAGCGAACAGG
rnacentral:rRNA from 1 species